rnacentral:rRNA from 1 species
GCGAGCUAAUACCGGAUGUGACUGUUGGGAGGCAUUUCCUGACAUUUAAAGCUGGGGACUGUAACAGGCCUGGCCCUUCACGAUGAGCCCGCGGCCUAUCAGCUAGUUGGUGAGGUAACGGCUCACCAAGGCUAAGACGGGUAGCUGGUCUGAGAGGACGACCAGCCACACUGGAACUGAGACACGGUCCAGACACCUACGGGUGGCAGCAGUCGAGAAUUUUUCACAAUGGGCGCAAGCCUGAUGGAGCGACGCCGCGUGGGGGAUGAAGGGUUUCGAUCCGUAAACCCCUGUCAUUUGCGAACAAACCUUAUGGGUGAACAACUCAUGAGCUGAUUGUAGCGAAAGAGGAAGGGACGGCUAACUCUGUGCCAGCAGCCGCGGUAAUACAGAGGUCCCAAGCGUUGUUCGGAUUCACUGGGCGUAAAGGGUGCGUAGGUGGCCAGGUAAGUUCGAUGUGAAAGCUCGGAGCUUAACUCCGAAAUGGCAUUGAAUACUCUCUGGCUAGAGGGUCGGAGGGGAGACUGGAAUUCUCGGUGUAGCAGUGAAAUGCGUAGAUAUCGAGAGGAACACCAGUGGCGAAGGCGAGUCUCUGGACGACAUCUGACACUGAGGCACGAAAGCUAGGGGAGCAAACAGGAUUAGAUACCCUGGUAGUCC